UACGAAGGGGGCAAGCGUUGUUCGGAAUUACUGGGCGUAAAGGGCGCGUAGGCGGCCGAUCAAGUCAGGCGUGAAAUUCCCGGGCUCAACCUGGGGGCUGCGCUUGAUACUGAUUGGCUUGAAUGCGGGAGAGGAUAGUGGAAUUCCCAGUGUAGAGGUGAAAUUCGUAGAUAUUGGGAAGAACACCAGUGGCGAAGGCGGCUAACUGGUCCAGAUCUGACGCUGAGGUGCGAAAGCGUGGGGAGCAAACAGG
rnacentral:rRNA from 1 species